rnacentral:tRNA from 1 species
GCGAUCAUGCUGGAAUUGGUAGACAGGCACGGUUGAGGGCCGUGUGGGCUUAGCCUGUAAGAGUUCAAGUCUCUUUGAUCGCACCA